AUUGUUUUUUUUCUUUGCCACAAAUCAAAACAUAUUCCGAAAAACAUCAACUUCGUCUGGUUGUGGUUUACUUUGCUGUGUGUGACAUCAAUUUUCUUUUAGCUUUAUCACCUUGCAUUAGCCCAAAUUUGAGUAUACAGUAUAUGUAUGCUUGUUGCUUCAGUUCAUCCGUAUUCAAACAAUUCCACUUUGUAAUAAUGUGAAGACAAUAUGCUAGCUUAUUUAGACCUCAACUGUUUGUUUUAAACUUGGAAAAGUUAUAAUUUAAAAUCACAAUAUUUGUUCCGAAGUUCAAAUGUGCUGUUAAAAACAACGCUGAAUCUCUUUCCCAAAAUAAUCAAAUAACAACUGAAGUUUACAACCCCCUAUAAGUCAACACUGUAUAGAACUGCCUUGUUCCUCAACAAAUCCAUUUUAUUUGUGUCCAGGAAUAAUCAAACUCAUGUAUUAAGAGUGUACUGGGGUAAAUAAGACAAGACUAUUAAACAACAAGGCAG